UGAAGGCAAACUCUCCAACAAAGUUGCUCUGUUAAAGAACAGGUUGUUUCAGUAAAGGGUUCAUUUUAUCUUUGAAAACAAACUACUGUUAUAACUCAUGUUAAUCAUGGCCACGGGUCAUGGCAUCUUUUUUUUUUUAAAUAUAUAUUUUUAUAUACUUCUUGUGUAGCCCUGUGUAGUUGCUGUUGGUGUUUCAAUGAAGGGCUUUUCUUUUUGAUGUGCAAAGGACUUCAACACAUCUAACCCUUUUGGUCUCUUUCUCUUGUUCAUCGCUCUUACUCGUUUUCUGUCACACCAACACACACACUAACAAACACACGCACACUCUAGCACCUCACACCCACCAACAUAACUCAGUGUCAUUUUUGCCACAAUGUUUGGCUCACAGCAUAGACCACUAGGGGAGACUCCACACUCACAUGCCCCCAAGAAAUAUUCCCCUAGACUAGCAUUAAUAUGAAUUUCUCUCACUCUUCUCUUCCCCUCUCUCUUUCUAUCCCCUUCUCUCUCUCUCCCCCUCACUCUUAUCUAUUUUUAUCCCCUUCUCUUUCUCUCCCCUUCACUUCCUCUCUCUUUCUAUCCCCUUCUCUUCCUCUCUCUUUUUAUCCCCUUCUCUCUCUUUCUAUCCCCUCCUUUUCCUCUCUUUCUAUCCCCUUCUCUUCCUCUCACUAUAUCUCUCCCCCUUACUCUUAUAUCUCCCUCCCUCUCUUCCUGUGUAGGAUGUCUGCUCCUUUUUUUUUCAUUUGUAAAAUUCAUGAUCUGUUCUCCAAAGGUUAGGAUGUAUUAGAUUCAGCUAAUGAUUUGCACAUUUUGAAGUUUAUUAUGUCUCUGUGAGUAUAAUUGAUCUAAUUGAGUUUGGAGAGAACAUGCCAUUUUAGUCCAAUGAGAAGACGGACAAAUGUUUGUGCUACUACAGUUUCUGCUAUUUGUAUCUUGAAGCACAUUGUAGCUUUACUCAUGUAGCUUUCAAUAAAAGAAUUGACUGAAACUGACUGACUCAUUUCAAUACAAAGAUGUACAACUACUAGGGACAAUUCUUUAGGAGUUUAAUUUUUAUUAGCAUUAAAAAUUCAAGUUAGAAGUAUCAUUUAAAUCUACUUCCAUUGACAUGAUAAAAUUACUUUAACAUUACACAAUAAAUUGGUAUUACAUAAAUAUGAAGGUAAUAUCUUCAUUCAACAUGAUUUUUUUAUGUAAUGUGAUGUGAUUACAAU
ensembl:lncRNA